UGACCGGGGUUGCGGACAGUGUCUGGUGGGUAGUUUGACUGGGGCGGUCUCCUCCUAAAGAGUAACGGAGGAGCACGAAGGUUGGCUAAUCCUGGUCGGACAUCAGGAGGUUAGUGCAAUGGCAUAAGCCAGCUUGACUGCGAGCGUGACGGCGCGAGCAGGUGCGAAAGCAGGUCAUAGUGAUCCGGUGGUUCUGAAUGGAAGGGCCAUCGCUCAACGGAUAAAAGGUACUCCGGGGAUAACAGGCUGAUACCGCCCAAGAGUUCAUAUCGACGGCGGUGUUUGGCACCUCGAUGUCGGCUCAUCACAUCCUGGGGCUGAAGUAGGUCCCAAGGGUAUGGCUGUUCGCCAUUUAAAGUGGUACGCGAGCUGGGUUUAGAACGUCGUGAGACAGUUCGGUCCCUAUCUGCCGUGGGCGCUGGAAGAUUGAGGGGGGCUGCUCCUAGUACGAGAGGACCGGAGUGGACGCAUCACUGGUGUUCGGGUUGUCAUGCCAAUGGCACUGCCCGGUAGCUACAUGCGGAAGAGAUAAGUGCUGAAAGCAUCUAAGCACGAAACUUGCCCCGAGAUGAAUCUUCCCUGAGCCUUUAAGGCUCCUGAAGGAACGUUGAAGACGACGACGUUGAUAGGCCGGGUGUGUAAGCGCAGCGAUGCGUUGAGCUAACCGGUACUAAUGAACCGUGAGGCUUAACCUUACAACGCCGAAG
rnacentral:rRNA from 1 species